GCAGUGCUCAUUUGCCCACCAUGCCCACGGCUACCCUGAACACCAGAAGACUUUCUCUCCCAACAGGCAGCUAACUGCAGGAGCUGAAACUGCUGAAACCACUUUCAUGACUUUGAACUCUGAAGGAGGUUCAGGAAUUUCUGCUCAUCCUUUUUAUCUUCUCCUGAUCUACUGGUUCCUGAGUCCCACCUUGCUCCUGAUCUCUAGGCUUUUCCUUCUAGGCUAAUUCCACAGCCUAUCACUGCCCAGACUCCCCUGGUCUCUGGCGACUCCCUGAAUGUACCCUGUGAUGGAAGAGGAGUUUGCCAGUGAGGUGACUGGUCUCUGUGAGUCAAGCAUGCCUCAACGAACAGGAUCCAGAGGUCAGGGAGAGGAGACAGCAGAGCAGCCUGGGGAAAGCGGGCUCAGUUCAGAGCACCCCCAUUCAUACCAGCAUUCCACCAUCCAGAGCUCCGAUCUCUGUCAAGAAGAUCCUGUUGGCGGCCAGGAUACCCAUGAUGGAAGGACUUCUGCAAAGCACGGGGCUCCUCACCGUGGGAGCUAAAGUCAUCCACCAGGAUGAUCUCCUUCAGCAGCCGAGGAGGGGUCUGGUUGAUGAUGCUGGUGAUAGCUCUCUGGAUGACGGACAGAGCUUCAUUCAGGAAGAUGAGGAUGACACUGAGGGAUGGGAGCUGAGCAGGAUAUGUCUUCUGAAGACACCUGUAAGACACCAUUCUUUGUAACACAGUAUUCUUUAGUUAUUGAAGCAUUGCUGUCCAGUCUUCCUCUUCAGUAUCUAUGCUAUUCUAUUUAUCAACUCACUGAACCUCAAACUGAACGGGUGAAGGAAAAUCUCAAGUCUUUGUCCAAGAAGCCAAAAGACUUACCUGCCCUGGAGCUUUCAUGUAAGUAAAAACAAGUUACGUGUUCUCCUGAGCAUAACAUCGUCAUCAGUGCUGCAGCAGGUCCAGCCCAGUGUGUGAUCCCAGGAGGCUCUUUCUGGCUGUGUCUUCUCAGCUUCUGUUAGAUUUCUGAAUGUUCCACCCUUACACAGGGUUUCUCCAAAGCUACACAGAAGCCAUCCAUCUUUAUCUGUCAACACAGCUGUACCAGGAAUGAUGGUAGACACCUGCAAUCCCAGCACACAGAGGGCUAAGAUGAGAAGAUCAGGAGUUCAAAGGCAUCCUCAGCCACAUAGAAUCUGUGGUCAGCCUGGGCUACG